rnacentral:tRNA from 1 species
AGCGUCUGCCUCGUAAGCAGAAGGUCGCUGGUUCAAUCCCGGUAGGAGGCA